CCAAUCCCCAGAGGCAUUGCAGGUGUUCCUGCUGUAUCACAUAUCUGUCGGUAGGUGGCAGAGAGGAGAGCAGCUACGUUCUGACCUGAACAUCUGAAUAGCCUAGCAUU
ensembl:snoRNA Gm25438 predicted gene, 25438